GGAGUGGUGGUUCAGUGGUAGAAAUCUCACCUUUCAUAUGGGAGACCCAGGUUCAAUUCCUGGCCAGUGUA
rnacentral:tRNA from 1 species